rnacentral:rRNA from 1 species
GUGUCAGCCGCCGCGGUAAUACGUAGGGGGCGAGCGUUGUCCGGAUUUAUUGGGCGUAAAGAGCUCGUAGGCGGCUGUUCGAGUCGGGUGUGAAAUCCUGAGGCUUAACCUUGGGUCUGCAUUCGAUACUGGGCGGCUUGAGUCUGGUAGGGGGAUCUGGAAUUCCUGGUGUAGCGGUGGAAUGCGCAGAUAUCAGGAGGAACACCGGUGGCGAAGGCGGGAUCCUGGGCCAGUACUGACGCUGAGGAGCGAAAGCGUGGGGAGCAAACAGGAUUAGAUACCCCGGUAGUCC